UAAUAUUAUACAUUUAGGUAUGGCUAUAAGUGAUCAAAUUGAUUAAGCGUAUUGUAAAUACGUCGCCUGGCUGGGGUAAACCUUCUAAUUAUAGAAGGUUUACUUUUUUAUGU
rnacentral:ncRNA from 1 species